UACGGGGGGAGCAAGCGUUGUUCGGAUUUACUGGGCGUAAAGGGCGCGUAGGCGGCACCGCAAGUCGACUGUGAAAUCUCCGGGCUUAACCCGGAAAGGUCAGCCGAUACUGCGGGGCUAGAGUGCAGAAGGGGCAACUGGAAUUCUCGGUGUAGCGGUGAAAUGCGUAGAUAUCGAGAGGAACACCUGCGGCGAAGGCGGGUUGCUGGGCUGACACUGACGCUGAGGCGCGAAAGCGUGGGGAGCAAACAGG
rnacentral:rRNA from 1 species